CAGAGGUUGACACUGCUGCCGAACAAACAGAAAAGUUUCACUAAUGAGGCUCUAACCAGAGACUUCCUUCCUCAAAGAUGUUCCACAAUUUCUACCGAAGUAUGGUUCAGAGCUGCUGCCCUCAUGUCACACAGGCGAAUGGUGCCUUUGCUGCUGCUGUACACAAAUGUGUUGCAUUGAUUUGGAUGAAACUCUGCUGCUGUGAUCACCUCCGUCAACUCUUCCAUGUUGGCUGGCUUAAUAUCAACAAUAUCUGAGACGACUGCAGCAAGCUCCAUCUCACCUGAGACCUUCUCAAACCUAUCCUCUGGCCAUACUGCAGCUCUCUCUCUUUAACACACUGGAGUUUCACCUGAAGAAGUAUGACCAGGUAUGGAGGAAUGCCAAACGUGCCGGUAUGGAUCAAAUGGAAAAACUCUGAGAGUAUCGAGCAGGGCAGCAUAACUCUCUUGGUUUGAUGUGAAGCAACUAACAGAGGUCAAAGGUUUCAUGUAGAUUUGAUCCAGUACCACAGAGGACUGGCUCAUGGUGGGAAGAUUCAGGCCUUCUAAAUGAAAAACUGCCGCUAAUGCUAUCAAUGUUUAAAGUAUGUCAUGUAAGUAAUGAAUGUAAACAGACAAGGAUUGUUUGUAUGUUGCUUUAAACAUUUUAGAGUUUAUUAUGUACUUAUCUACAAUUUCUAUCUGUUUUAUGUAAGGUUUUUUUAAGUGUUUGGCAUUUUUACAGACCUUAUAAUUUUGCUGUGUUAUUGAAUUUCUGUUAUAACUCUUAUUAUAAUUCUAAGUUUGUCCUUAAAAUCAGUAAAUCUUUGAAUC